UCUUAAACAAAGUGACUCAGAGGAUAUUUUGUCUUAAGAAUCAUUGCAAGAACUUGCUGUUUUCAGCUACCUUUUAGGUACAAAAAUUUUUUCCUUUCAGGCUCAUAUUUGCUGAAAGUUGCCAAGGCCAGGUAGCACAACUGCAUGAGUACCCUGUGAUAACUUGCUGUAUAUCUUCUAAACGAAUCCUUCUUGACCAUCAGGGUUGAGAGGAGAUCAAUGGGAAUCAAGCAGAAAGUUGAAGGGCUUGACAGGAAGACCAUGGAUAUUCUCAGGAAAGUAAAGUCUGAGUCUAUUGGCACUUUGAUUUGGAACCUUCUGUUUGGCCUAUCUGUUGAAGACCUAAUUACCUGCUGAAGACCUAAUCAUGAGGAAGCAGUUUUAGGUCAAGCAAAGAAAUUGGACAGAAACUAGUAUACCAUGCUAUCAGCUUGAUAUUCUUUUCCAGAAUUUCUUAAAGUGACUCAGAGGAUAUUUUGUCUUAAGAAUCAUUGCAAGAACUUGCUGUUUUCAGCUACCUUUUAGGUACAAAAAUUUUUUCAUUUACAUUAUACAUUAUCUAUUCACUCGUUGUCUGAGCCUAAAACUAUAUGAAAAAAUGAAAUGUUGCUUAUUUUGAGACAUUGUCAUUUCAGUCAUGAUCACAAGAUGGCAUUGUUACAAAAUCCCUCACGUCAAGUAAACUAGAAAGAUUUCCAUGUAAGAAACUUUUACCUAUCCUUCUAUUCUGUUCCCCAACUGAAACACUGAGUCUGUUUUGUUCCUUUCAGGGAAGCGUCAAUCCAUUUGAGAGAUCUGAUGAGAAGGAAGAAGAGUGGUUAGAAGUCCAUAAAACACAUCAGAACUGAGGAUAUAGGUGUGAACUCUGAGAAGAGACAAGGUGAUGUUACACUAUUAUGCCAGCAAUAGCUUAGCUGAUCUGCCCUGGGAUAGAGAAGCACGCUUGCUGUUGAGGUUGCAAGGAUAUUGGCAAAGUAACUUUUCUGCAUCAGACUCCUGCAUUCAGGUAAGACUAAUUUCAGGAAAUACAAACAUAAGAUUAUUUUCUAAUGCUGACGUUGGCUGGUAAAAACAUAGUAAUUUUUGCAUUCAU
rnacentral:lncRNA from 1 species